GGCGGCCACCGCUAUUGGAAUACGAUUAAGACAUGCGAGUCGAGAGACGUAAGGUCUCGGCGGACCGCUCAGUAACACGUGGGUAACAUGCCCUAAGGUGGGGGAGUAAUCUCGGGAAACGUAGAGGGUAAGUACCCCACUAGGUCUGAUCUGCUGGAAUGCUUUCUAGGCCGGAAAACUACCGGUGCCUUAGGAUUGGCCUGCGGUCUAUCAGGCUGUAGUGGGUGGUAACGGACCCACUAGCCCG
rnacentral:rRNA from 1 species